AUCGAUGAAAAACGCAGCGAAAUGCGAUAAGUAAUGUGAAUUGCAGAAUUCAGUGAAUCAUCGAANUUUUGAACGCAUAUUGCACCUUAGAGUAUNCUUUANGGUAUACCUGUUCGAGCGUCGUUUAAAACAAUAAAGCCUUGCUUUUUGAUGGAUUUUGAUAGCGAGAAAUGGAGACAUUCGUGUUUUCUUUUCCAAGUUCAACUUCUCAAACAUAGUGGCGUUUUGCUUAAAGCUUGUUGUCAAUGUACAGUGAAAAUGUAUAUAAUGACGAAGCACCAAGUAUUAGACGCAACAAUAAAAACCACAAUUAUUAGUUUCGACCUCGAAUCAAGUAAGACUACCCGCUGAACUUAAGCAUAUCAAUAAGCGGAGGAAAAGAAACCAACAGGGAUUGCCUUAGUAACGGCGAGUGAAGCGGCAAAAGUUCAAAUUUGAAAUCUCCUAACAAGGCGAAUUGUAAUUUGUAGAGGAAUGUUCGGCGAAAUCUUGAUCCAAGUCUUCUGGAAGGAAGCGCCACUGAGGGUGAGAGCCCCGUUAGGAUUGAAAGACGUAGCCAUGUGUACAUCCUUCGAAGAGUCGAGUUGUUUGGGAAUGCAGCUCAAAACGGGUGGUAAAUUCCAUCUAAAGCUAAAUAUUGGCCAGAGACCGAUAGCGCACAAGUAGAGUGAUCGAAAGAUGAAAAGCACUUUGGAAAGAGAGUGAAAAAGUACGUGAAAUUGUUGAAAGGGAAGCGCUUGCAACCAGACUUGAUAAUGAUGUUCAGCCAGUGAUUUCACUGGUGUAUUUCAUCGUGUUCAGGCCAACAUCGGUUUCUUGGGUCGGNAAAAAGUAUUGGGAACGUGGCUCCUCGGAGUGUUAUAGCCCUUUACAGAAUACGGCCACAUUGGAGACCGAGGACUGCCUCUUUUGUAGGAUGUUGGCGUAAUGGUUGUCAGCGGCCCGUCUUGAAACACGG
rnacentral:rRNA from 1 species